UUCCCCGCGUGUAUGGGGGCGAGGCAGGGAGCCUCAUACAGCGCUCCCAUUGGGUAUAUAAGGAGCUGCGGAGGAAGGGGCCGCCAUACUGCACUCGUUCUGCAACGCUUCAACACCCGCUCGUCACACCAUGAAGCUGAUUUCGCUGUUGAUGGCCCUGGUGGUGGCCCUCUCUGGCCUCCUGGGUUCAGCUCGUGCUAUGCCUGACCCCUCCCCUGUGGCUGACCCCGUGGCUGACCCUGACCCCGUAGCUGACCCGUGGCACUUCAAACGCAAGCACUACUAUCCCCGCCGGCAUUACUACCCCCGUCGCCACCACUACCAUCACUGGUGAAGAUGAAUGAACGUUUUCCUUCGAAAAAUAAACGUUUAUUCCGACAUGAAAUUGAAAUGUUAACAUAUGAUCUCUCUGUCAUCUUGAUGUGAAAUAAAAUCUUAAUAGAUAUA